AAGAAAACGGAAUUGGAUCGGGGGAAGUCAAAAGUAGUCGAGUAGUCGACUGUGUUCGUCGAUAUCCGAGGUAAGUCUAAUAGCAAUUUAAAUGUUAUUAAAUUGGAAUUUAUAUAAAUAUAUCUAUCAUACAUUUAGUAAGCUGGUACUAAAAGUAUAUAAAUUGAAUAAAACUUGAUGAUUUUUCUAUGUGAAAGCCGAACAUAGAAAUUGAUUUUGGGAGGUUAAAAUUAAUGGUAUAAAUUACAUGUAUAUUAAUUAAAGUAUGCUUUAAGUUCAAUGAUAUGAAACUAAUAGUAGAAUUUACAUGGAUAUGUAGUUCGAAUGUAAGAUUUAAUUUCAUGAGUUGAUUUAAAGUUAUGAAUUAUAUAUAUAUAGUUGAAUGUAUGAUACAAGUUCUUUGAGUUGAACUUAAUAUUAUGAAAUAUAUAUAUAUAUAUAUAUACACAUACGGUUUGAAUAUAUAUAUAUUUUAAAGUUCUUGAGCUGAAAUUAAUGUACGAAUUUUAUAUACACAUGUGAUUCAAAUAUAGGUUAUAAAGUUCUUGAGCUGAAUUUAAUUUAUGAAUUUUACAUACAUAUGUGUAUGGUUCGAAUAUAGGUUACAAAUUCUUUGAACUGAAUUUUAAUGUUGUAAAUUAUACGCAAGAUCAUCUUUGUAUUUGAGAUUUUCAGGCUUAAUGCCUAGCAGGCUUGAUGUCGGUGAAUUAAUUCAGACUUUAUGUCUAGCAGGCUUUGUGCCGGUGAAAUGUAUCAGGCUUUGUGCCUAGCAGGCUUUAUGCCAGUGCUUUAUACAAGGCUCUAUGUUCUAUAAAUCUUAUGUGGGCAAUAGUAAAAGCAAAUAAAGGUGUUAAGAAAGCUAAAUUAUUCAGGUAUGUGUUAGCCACUUGCUUAAUUAGUGUUAAGGUAGGUUGAUUAUUUUUAAAUUGAUAACAGUUUCAAAUGAAAUAUAGAGUAUGAGUUAACCAUUUGAGUAUAAACAUAUUUUGGCAUAAUGAUUUAUUGAAUAUUUGGCUUUGCUAAAUAUUUAUGUGUAUUUGGCCAUAUGGUUUGUUUAUAUGAAAAUUUAAUGUGAUUUUAUUUAAAGCGUUAUAUGAUACAAAAUAUUAGGAUCUUUGGUUUAUUUUAACUUAAUGAUGGAAUAAGUAUUAAUAUAAAUAUAUAUAUAUAUAUAUAUAUAUGAAUUUCUGUUUAUGACUUACUAAGCUUUAAUAGCUUAUUAUGUGUGUUUUUGUUUACCUCGGUUUUAUAGAUUUUGGAAUCGUGUUACGAGCUCGGGGAUCAUCAGCAAGCCUAUCACACUAUCGACUGUUUUCUUCGGUAUUUUACUAAGUUAAAUUUUGAGCUUAUGGCAUGUAUAGUCUGGAUAAAAUAAUUGAUUUUGGAACUUGUAUGUAUAUAGCCAUGCG
rnacentral:lncRNA from 1 species